UCAUCUUCGGGGGUAGAGCACUGUUUCGGCUAGGGGGUCAUCCCGACUUACCAACCCGAUGCAAACUACGAAUACCGAAGAAUGUUAUCACGGGAGACACACGGCGGGUGCUAACGUCCGUCGUGAAGAGGGAAACAACCCAGACCGCCAGCUAAGGUCCCAAAGUCAUGGUUAAGUGGGAAACGAUGUGGGAAGGCACAGACAGCCAGGAUGUUGGCUUAGAAGCAGCCAUCAUUUAAAGAAAGCGUAAUAGCUCACUGGUCGAGUCGGCCUGCGCGGAAGAUGUAACGGGGCUAAACCAUGCACCGAAGCUGCGGCAGCGACACUAUGUGUUGUUGGGUAGGGGAGCGUUCUGUAAGCCUGCGAAGGUGUGCUGUGAGGCAUGCUGGAGGUAUCAGAAGUGCGAAUGCUGACAUAAGUAACGAUAAAGCGGGUGAAAAGCCCGCUCGCCGGAAGACCAAGGGUUCCUGUCCAACGUUAAUCGGGGCAGGGUGAGUCGACCCCUAAGGCGAGGCCGAAAGGCGUAGUCGAUGGGAAACAGGUUAAUAUUCCUGUACUUGGUGUUACUGCGAAGGGGGGACGGAGAAGGCUAUGUUAGCCGGGCGACGGUUGUCCCGGUUUAAGCAUGUAGGCUGGUUAUCCAGGCAAAUCCGGAUAAUCAAGGCUGAGGUGUGAUGACGAGGCACUACGGUGCUGAAGUAACAAAUGCCCUGCUUCCAGGAAAAGCCUCUAAGCAUCAGGUAACAU
rnacentral:rRNA from 1 species